UACCAGCACCCCGAGUGGUCGGGACGAUUAUUGGGCCUAAAGCAUCCGUAGCCGGCCUUACAAGUCCUCCGUUAAAUCCAGCUGCUUAACAGAUGGGCUGCGGAGGAUACUAUAAGACUAGGAGGCAGGAGAGGCAAGCGGUACUCAGUGGGUAGGGGUAAAAUCCUAAGAUAUAUGGAGGAACACCAAAGGCGAAGGCAGUUAACUAUUCUGCUCCUGACACUGAGGCACGAAAGCGUGGGUAGCGAAACGG
rnacentral:rRNA from 1 species